UCAAUAAUAUCUUUAUACCUAGGGAACUAUUCAAAUCAUGAUUGCAUGGAUUUUGCAGAAAUUGUGAAAUCAGGCAAUCUGGGGUGCAGGGCAGGCUUCUGGCAAAAACUUAGCUAGUUUUUUUGGAGAGUCCUCCAGUCCAUGCAGCUCAGCCUGAAAGGGGCUGCCAGCACAAAGGCAAGAUGGGCCCCUGCUCCUUGCUGCUGAUUUGACAAGGGAUGAGGCUACACAAUGGAUAGCCCUCUCCACCAAUCAGCAGUGGAGGGUGGGGUCACUGGGGCCCCAUGACCAAUCAGAUGUGGGGGGACACCAGGAUAAGCUAAUGAAAAUGACAGUUAGCCCUGUGAUCUGCCUUCUUGAGUUGGGUAGACCCCUACUUACACCUUGCUCUUAAUGCAAGUAACUUAGUCCACGCUUACUCUUAGUUUUCCAUUAGCUGAUGGGCCUUUUAGAGUUGCCUCCUUUUCUAACUAAGUCUGCUUAGCUGCUUUUUAACUCAUUGUAAGGUGGAAUUGACAACUCCCCACACCUAGCAGACUUGUAAUAUGUCAGUUUGAAUCUGGGCUUUCCUGAGCAGUGUUGCUCUGCUUAGAUUUAAUUGAGUUCUCAUCAUUAACAUGCUAAGAUAUGUACAGGCCUGCUAAUUAACUGAUUGGAAGGUAACAGGUUGGAGGU